AACACUCUGCAGAACAGCAGCAGAUCUGGAAGAAAGCGGGUGUUGGGUGAGAAUGUCAGGGUGUUUGGUGUGCUGGUGACCCUUGGCUCUCCGGCCAGUCCUUAGAAGUCCAGUCGGUGCGGAGAUAAACUAGGGUUUACGAGAACCCUGGAGUUUUACAGUUUGCUUCAGGUUCUGUGAACGGAUUCUACAUUCACUCAGCAAUCUGAGUAAAUGUGACAAGGAGUUGGAUGGAAGGGGUAGAAGGGUAAGAGGGAACAGACCAACUAAAACCCUGGGGACGACGCCUAAUGAACACCGAUAUGAUGGAAGCCGUAGAACUACAAGGUCACUGGCAGGUUUAGUCUCUACACUAAAACGUUCCCAUUUGACAAGGGUUUAUUCAGCCUCCUUUCUACAUCUAAUUCUAAAUAAACCCAUUUUUCUCCUUCCACCGAGAUAGUAACCAAGAGGAGAGAUCUUUGCGUGGAGCAGCGAUUCAAUAGAAUUAACCACACCACGAGCAAAUGCAGACAACGGCUCUAAGGUCCCUAGAGAGAUGGAAGGCAGCAUUUUUAUUUAAAAGAUUUGGAGCAUUGAGAUGAACAGCGAGCUCCGGUUUUAGAAGCAACAGCGCCCUCUAGUGGAAGGAUGAGAACUACAUCCCAAACAGCAAGUGCUAGUUCACAGCCCUGUUACAUGGAAAAUACUUUUAUUUUGUCCUCAGAAAUAUAACCGAUUUUAGGCUAUGAUUUUUCUGGUACUCAGUGAUUAUUACAUGUCACUUCUGUUCUUUACAGCUAUCCAUGCUUCGGUUUUCUCUAUUACUUUAAUAAAAAUUUCCAUUUA